rnacentral:rRNA from 1 species
UGGGGAAUAUUGCACAAUGGGCGCAAGCCUGAUGCAUCCAUGCCGCGUGUAUGAAGAAGGCCUUCGGGUUGUAAAGUACUUUCAGCGGGGAGGAAGGGAGUAAAGUUAAUACCUUUGCUCAUUGACGUUACCCGCAGAAGAAGCACCGGCUAACUCCGUGCCAGCAGCCGCGGUAAUACGGAGGGUGCAAGCGUUAAUCGGAAUUACUGGGCGUAAAGCGCACGCAGGCGGUUUGUUAAGUCAGAUGUGAAAUCCCCGGGCUCAACCUGGGGACUGCAUCUGAUACUGGCAAGCUUGAGUCUCGUAGAGGGGGGUAGAAUUCCAGGUGUAGCGGUGAAAUGCGUAGAGAUCUGGAGGAAUACCGGUGGCGAAGGCGGCCCCCUGGACGAAGACUGACGCUCAGGUGCGAAAGCGUGGGGAGCAAACAGG